UGUCCGGAUUUACUGGGUGUAAAGGGUGCGUAGGCGGCUUUGCAAGUCAGAUGUGAAAUCUAUGGGCUCAACCCAUAAACUGCAUUUGAAACUGUAGAGCUUGAGUGAAGUAGAGGCAGGCGGAAUUCCCCGUGUAGCGGUGAAAUGCGUAGAGAUGGGGAGGAACACCAGUGGCGAAGGCGGCCUGCUGGGCUUUAACUGACGCUGAGGCACGAAAGCGUGGGUAGCAAACAGGAUUAGAUACCCUGGUAGUCCACGCUGUAAACGAUGAUUACUAGGUGUGGGGGGUCUGACCCCUUCCGUGCCGGAGUUAACACAAUAAGUAACUCCACCAGGGGAGUACGGCCG
rnacentral:rRNA from 1 species